rnacentral:rRNA from 1 species
AAAGGCGGAUUUAUCUGCCGCUCAUGGAUGGGCCUGCGGUGCAUUAGCUAGUUGGUGAGAUAGUAGCUCACCAAGGCGACGAUGCAUAGCCGACCUGAGAGGGUGAUCGGCCACACUGGGACUGAGACACGGCCCAGACUCCUACGGGAGGCAGCAGUAGGGAAUCUUCCGCAAUGGACGCAAGUCUGACGGAGCAACGCCGCGUGAGUGAUGAAGGGUUUCGGCUCGUAAAACUCUGUUGUUAAGGAAGAAUACUUGAGGUAGUAACUGGCCUUGAGAUGACGGUA